UUAUCCUACGGGGGGCAGCAGUGGGGAAUAUUGGACAAUGGGGGGAACCCUGAUCCAGCGCCGCCGCGUGCGUGCCGAAGUAUUUCGGUAUGUAAAGCUCUAUCAGCAGGGAAGAAAAUGACGGUACCUGACUAAGAAGCCCCGGCUAACUACGUGCCAGCAGCCGCGGUAAUACGUAGGGGGCAAGCGUUAUCCGGAUUUACUGGGUGUAAAGGGAACGUAGACGGUGCAGCAAGUCUGAUGUGAGAGGUCGGGGCCCAACCCCGGGACUGCAUUGGAAACUGUUGAACUGGAGUACAGGAGAG
rnacentral:rRNA from 1 species